rnacentral:rRNA from 1 species
UACGGGGGGAGCAAGCGUUGUUCGGAUUUACUGGGCGUAAAGGGCGCGUAGGCGGCGUAACAAGUCACUUGUGAAAUCUCCGGGCUUAACCCGGAGCGGCCAAGUGAUACUGUUGUGCUAGAGUGCGGAAGGGGCUACUGGAAUUCUCGGUGUAGCGGUGAAAUGCGUAGAUAUCGAGAGGAACACCCGUGGCGAAGGCGGCUCUCUGGGACGGUACUGACGCUGAGACGCGAAAGCGUGGGGAGCGAACAGG